GUUUGAUCCUGGCUCAGAACGAACGCUGGCGGCGUGCCUAACACAUGCAAGUUGAGCGCGAAAGGGAGCAAUCCCCGGUAGAGCAGCGCACGGGUGAGUAACACGUGAGUAAUCUUCCUUCGUGUCAGGAAUAACCACUGGAAACGGUGGCUAAUACUCGAUAAGCCCCACAACCCCCUCGGGGGAUGAGGGGAAAAGGGGGGCGCAAGCCUCUCGCACGAAGAUGAGCUCGCGGUCCAUUAGCUAGUUGGCGGGGUAAUGGCCCACCAAGGCGAUGAUGGAUAGCUGGUCUGAGAGGACGAUCAGCCACACUGGGACUGAGACACGGCCCCAGACUCCUACGGGAGGCAGCAGUGGGGAAUCUUGCGCAAUGGACGAAAGUCUGACGCAGCAACGCCGCGUGAGU
rnacentral:rRNA from 1 species